rfam:Myotis davidii contig2497, whole genome shotgun sequence.
GGCGGUUCUUGAGUGACACACCUAGGAGUCGGGCUCCCUCCUCUCUGGUUCUGGGUGUGUCACCCGAGGACCGCA